CUUAACCAAUGCCCUGUGUGAACCAAAUGUGCUCAGAAUAUUUCCCAGAAUCCUUUGCAAUGUGCAGGCGUUCCAUGGCAGUUAAGUCGAUGCGGAGUGUUCCCUGAAGGUAUAACAUCUUUAAAGCAGCGCUCUGAGUCAAACAGACCUAGCACCCUCAGCCUUUCCUUGGACAAUUUGUUUUCCAGAAGAUCCUCAAUCAUCAUCAGAGCUCGCCUCUGAAUCCCCAUCUUGCUUUUCACCAUCCUUCUUCAGCUGUAUAACCCGGAACUGAGUAUGAGACUCCAAAUGAGCUCUUAUCAUUGCUAAGCAGACGCCAAAUUAUGUCUUCUCACAUCUAGGGAGUUAUAUUUCUAGUCAUUCAAUGUAACUAAGCCAUUGGUAAUUGGAUCACACGUUGCCAACUCUCGAUUCGAAAGGGCAACGCCAUUGGAGACAUUCUCUGCACGGCCAUCGCCUAACUUCCUGACUAACAAAGCAGUUGCACGAAUGGGUUGCAAGAGUGAGUUGUGCUGAAUCUGGAGCUUGCAUUCCAGGCUCGUCUUGCACAAGGUGUGCAGCCGGUGGUAUGCCUCAUAGGUUGUGCUGGGAACUUUUGCACGAGAGAUAAAUUCUCUUGCAAAAGAGCUCCAUUUUUUUGCACAAGAGUGCAAUUCUUUCCCAUUCUUUUUCUUUCCUUUUCAAGAGCUCAAUUCUCUUUUGCACAAGAACUCAGUUCCGAGAACCUCCAUUGCCUCAUGCAGCUAUUGCACUGACACAACUUUGUUGCUUGCACAAAUGCCUCAUGAGUUGGCAUGCCAGCCAUUGCCUCCAAGACUCAGGAAGCCAUGUACGCAUUGCUGCUCAUAAAGUCAGUGGACAUGUCAAAAUCCAUCCCCAACCCCUUCCCGCAAAAGCCAACUGGUUGACUUCUCACCACAGAAGAAGCGGCCAUGUUUUUCGACCUGCAGACUUCCGCCAGCAUUCCAGGACUGAAGGGAAGAAGAACAAAGAUUCAUUAAAAAUGCCCAAUUAUUUUGCCUCAACCGGCAACACAGCCCUACAGCCACAGAGAGAGAGAACAGCUGGGAUGUCUUGAUCUGAAACCCACAUCCCUCUUUUAUGCCAUCAAAUCUCCCGGAACACUUGAGAGAAGAGAGCAGACCUCAGCCAAGGAGAUGAGCUCGCUUUUAGCUUCGAAACCUCCCUCGUGGACAUGUCCAGGGACAGCAGUGAAGAUGGGCACCUGCUUGGACCCCAGCUAGCAAAAGGCUCUUUCUGACAAUCUCCUCGUUGUGCCAAGCUCACCAGAAGGUCAAAGACACAGAGCACAAGAAUUCUUGGGGGCGGGGAGGACUAGGAGGGUGGCUCAGUGGAGUCCUAUUGCAUGAGGCACGAUGAAACUCAAAGGGGAGCAGCAGCCUCUAAGCACUGGCUCCCUGCUCUACACACCAAGGGUACCCAAUCUUGGGUGCACUAACCAGCUUGACCUUGAGCUGAUUCACCAUCGAGCCGGCCCAGUCUGAGGGCUUGCCCUCGAGCCGGACCAUGCCUGGUUCUGGUUCGGCUCGAGGUUAAGCUGGGUUUUUUAAAAAAAUGGUGGACUUAACUCCUCCAAGGUCUUGUGUGUGUGUGUGUGGGGGGGUGCUGGCAGCUGCCGGGGGGGGGGUCUACAGUAGUUCCCCCUCCUCACGCUGGCCUUCCCCCGUUUCCCACAGACAAUUUCGGCCCUCUCCGAGCUCACGGCAGCCACUUUGGAUGCUGCCGCCCAUAUGCACAGGCCAUUUGCAUGUCCGGCUCUGGGCCUUGGCAUGCAAGAGGCCCGUUCGCAUGCAUGGUGGCCUCCAAAAUGGUCGCCACAAGCUUGGAGAGGGUCGAAACAGCCACUGGGAGAUGGGGGAGAGGCUGGCGGGGGGAGGUGGAACUGCCAGAGACCCUCCUGUGGCUGCCAGCAGGACCCCCUGAGGCCCUGGAGGCAGUAAGUCUCCCAUAUUAAUAAAAACAUCCCUGGCGCCCCUGAACCAGGCCCAAACUGGCUCAAAUUCGAACUGUGCUGGGCCCCUCAUUCAGGGCACCAAAACCGAAUAUACCUGGUUCAGUUCGAGCCCAGUUUGGACUUGAACUGAACUGGGCAAACUGGUUUUAUGCACACUCCUAGUCCUCAGAUGUUUGGCUAUAACUCCCAUCAUCCCUGGAGGCCAUUGUGGCUAGGAAUGAUGGGAGCUGUAGUCCAAUGAUAGCAGGAGAGCCCCGGUUGAGUCCCCCUACCUGAAAUCCUUUCCCAGUACUGAAAAUAAAGGAUAAUAUAUGUCCAACGAG